rnacentral:rRNA from 1 species
CAGUAGCCACGGUAAUACGAAGGGUGCAAGCGUUACUCGGAAUUACUGGGCGUAAAGCGUGCGUAGGUGGUGGUUUAAGUCCGUUGUGAAAGCCCUGGGCUCAACCUGGGAAUUGCAGUGGAUACUGGGUCACUAGAGUGUGGUAGAGGAUAGUGGAAUUUCCGGUGUAGCAGUGAAAUGCGUAGAGAUCGGAAGGAACAUCUGUGGCGAAGGCGGCUACCUGGGCCAACACUGACACUGAGGCACGAAAGCGUGGGGAGCAAACAGGAUUAGAGACCCCUGUAGUCCCUGUCUCUUAUAC